GGAGGGCCGGCCGUGGCAAAGAAGGCAGGCCACUCCUGACUGCCCCACGGAAGUGUGCGGCGAUGUGGGGCCGCUGGGAACCCCGAGGCGAGCUGGAGCCCAGGAAGGUGACGCAGCAAGUGUAGACAAGACGGCAAGAGACUGGGAGCCGCACAAGAACGUGAGGCGGAGGGAGCUUUCUUCUGUUUCAAAAAUGGGGAAGCCGGGAGCAAAUUUAAAUGCUGCUGGAAGGUUCCAGCAGAGAGACGGAUAAAGGGGAAGGACGUGGGGGAAGAGUCCUGCGGAGGCUGGAGCAAGACAGAGGAAGACCAAGACUUAUCUGUAUUCAGUUGCUCCACUGGACACAUCCAAGAGUCAUCGUUCGUGCGUUACUCUUACUUCCUAGAACAUUCUACGUGUCCAUGACUAAGGGGGCAGUGUGGUGUCAGGGCAGUUCGGCCUCUGACUCAGAGGUUCUGAGUUCCGGUUCUGACUCAGCCAGUCAUCACAUGAGCUGGAAGAAGUCAUGGUCUUCCCGGAACUUCGGCUUCCUCAAACAUCUGGAGAUGAUCAAGAAAUCCCGAGGUGACACCAAGGCGACUCCCAGCUCCAGGAGUCUGCUUCCCUCUCUCCUCCCUCCCUCUCUCCUCCCAUUCCUAGCCUGGGAUGUUGGAAGCAUUUCUGCAUCAACACCAGGAGAAAAGAAGGUAGAAAUGGCUUCGAGGAACGAGACGUGUGACUUUAGACGACACUAACAUAUUGAAAGAUUCUAAAUAGGAGAAUGUAGCUGCAAAGUCACAGCUCCUCUAACACAGCGAAGCAGAUUGACUCCGUCCGGUGUGGCCGCUUCGUAGGCGCUGGAUGGUUCCAGUCGGGGCUGGAGGACGGGCGUCUGGCAUGUGUCCCACAGGCGUUACCUCUCCUGCCCGCUCUGGUCCUGACCUGAAUCUACUGCAUCAUCGGCUCAGCAUUAUCGAUUGGUCCUGUGCUGUCCUUUCCAAGCUGGGAGACCAUCCAAUUGGAGACAGGACAGCUUCCAGGAGUUUGGUCCCAGAGGUGCUUUUCUUGGGGACGCCAGUGGGCGGCAGAAAGGGGGUCUGCAUCGUCACCCUUUUGCGUGAUGGCCGGGGUGCUACAUUUGGGGGUGGAUGCAUACCCACAGCUUCUGUUCUCUCUCUCUCUCUCUCUCUCUCUCUCUCUCUCUCUCUCCCUCUGCCUCUCUCUUCUGUUCGUGCAUGCUCUCUCUUUAUAAUAAUACUAAUAAAAAAGAUAAGGUAGCAAGUCUGUAAGUUGAAGUCCUUUAAAAUGGGGCUGUUUAAACCUCGGUGUUCCUUCCCGUCACCUGGGGACCUCGUCGACCUGCAGGGGUUCAUCGGACAGGGCUGGGUGGGCUUGGGUUCUGCAUUCUAGCAAGUUCCUAGGCAAAGCUGGUGUUGCUGGUCUGGGGACCACACUUCGAGUAGCAACCUUUUAGGAGAAACCUCAUCAUAAUCCUUCGCAUUUUCUUUUCCAUCGUCUUCUGCCGUGUGAACUUGAGUGCUAUUUUGGUAAGCAUAAACUCUUGAAUCAAAAUGUGCGUCCAGAAAUACACAUUGUGCUGUCUGCUCUCA